GGGCUGUAGCUCAAUGGUAGGGUGUCUAGCAAGCAGGAGGUCCCAGAUUCAAUCCCUGCCAGCAUCU